CCCUCUAGUGACCCGACCAGAAACACGACCAACGCUGGCAGCAAACAAGAGUAAUGAAAUUCUGUACAUUGUUAUACUGUACUGCAUGAUUGUGUCAUGGCUCCUCCAUGGUCUGGCUACAUCCUUUCUCAUAUUAGUCACCUCAAAAAAAUAAGAUUCAUGCUACAUUUACAGUAUGUAGAAAAAGAAGUGGUGAGAUUGUUGACUUUAAUAUACAUAUUUUUUGCAAUACUAGAUCACUGUCCAUUAAAGACUGAUGAUUUUUUAAAUUUUUUUAAUGCAUGUAUACAUCUGGCAGCAGCAAUGCUAAAAGAAAACGCAGUGUCAAUGUCACUGUCCCACCCUGUCAGCCAACCGCAGGCCAGUUGCCAUAGAUACGCCCUGCUUUCCACAUCAUACAGGACAGGCAGUAGUCCAUAUCUGAUUUUAUGUCUGGUGGUGGACUGUGUGCAUAUGCCCACAUGCGUUGGAGAUUCAGAGGCGAACCAAACGACUGAUGCUAUGGAGGAAGAAGAAGAUCUAACCACACGGUAAAGAACAUCUUCCCUUGCUCCUCGUCCAGUUCCAGCUGUUUCCACCGUGCCCCCUCUUGUUCCCCUGGCAUUCCCUGGAGGAGCCAUCGUUCCCGCAUGGCUUUGGACUGCAAACAGACACAUCUCAGGGCACCAGGCCCCUGGAGGGCAUACUACAAAGCCUACUUCAUGCUGCUUGACCGCGUGGCACUCAGACGUAACAGUCAUUUAAUGGGACUGUGUGACCAGAUGCUGAUUACAUCAAGUCGACUGAUGGUGCAUGCUGAAAAGUAAACAUAGCAGUGUGCUGACUCCAGGGAGGUGUUGCACUCAAUAAAGCAAGUUUUCCAAUAGUGCAGAUUCUGCAGUCACAACACUAUUGAUUAUUUCAUCAAUUGCCUGUGUGGGUUUUCUCCGGGUACUCCGGUUUCCUCCCACAUCUCAAAAACAUGCAUGGUAGGUUGAUUUAAGACUCUAAAUUCCCCGUAGGUGUGAAUCUGAGAGUGACUGGUUGUUUGUUUCUAUGUGCCCCGCGAUUGGCUGGCGACCAGUUCAGGGUGUAGCCCGCCUCUCGAGCUGGGAGAGGCUCCAGCACGCCCGCGACCCUAGUGAGGAUAAGCGGUACAGUAAAUGAAUGGAUGGAUGAUCGAAACAUAUAAUUGUACUGGCACACCCUAUUCCUUUACAUAAAGCACAGAUGUAAUCAUAAUGAGAGAAAAAUAGCAGGUUCCUUUCAGCCUCACCUUUUUAAACUCACGCAGCAGACAUUGAAGACUGACCAUUCUUAAAUCUUGCAGCUACGCCUGUGUUGAUGUUGGCAGAGUGGUACUAAGCAGCAGUAGUAUCGGGUCCGACUAUUUCUAGGAUCAUCAAACUGAUAACAUAUUGCUAGAGUGACAGAGGAAUACCUGUAACUACAUGACCUGCCUCCUCUGUCAGUGUGGAAGAAGUAAGAACUUUAAUACAAAGCAACGGAUCCUUCCGUUGAAACACUAUUCAUGAAACACACAUACAUGCAAUAAAGUAGCUUCACACUGUAUAAACUAUUUGAGAGCGCAACAGUGGACCAGAUGUGAAAAACACUUUGACCUGGAAAAACUAGCAACAGAAUUUGUUGAAAACCAACAUAUUUUGUGUAACCUGAAAAAGCUAUGCUGUUCAAGCAGUAAUGGGGAGACAUUCCUCAAUGCUUUUAAAUUAUUUAUGCAAUGGUAAAACAUUGUGGAGUGUGUUGUGGUAGGCACCGUCUUGGGAUCUCCCUGUGAGGGUUUUAUGCUUAUGCAUAGAGCUCAUGUUGCUGGAAAAUAGUAGUUAUGAACUUAACAUUGUCCUUAACAUUUCAUCCAACAUCCUACUAAGUUCUUAUGAGAGCACAUUGCUUGGUAUCAGCAUGAAGGACUCCACUGCAUUGAGCACAAUACUUUAAUGGCCAGAAAAACUAAGGUGUGCAUGGCUUUAAUCAGCAGUCCUUUGUCAAUGUUUCCAUAAGUGGGUGUUUAUAGCUGGAAAACACCAGUAGUCAGGAUUGAAAUGUACUUAAUAAAGGACCUUUUCAUUCAUUCAAGUGUUUAAAGGCCUUUAAUUAGAGAAAGGAAUGUAUUUUAUUUCCACUGGCUAGAUAUUUAUAGCGAAACAAGAACCAACGGACAUUUUC